rnacentral:rRNA from 1 species
UAUCUGCAGUCGAGCGGACGAUGGGAGCUUGCUCCCUGAGAUCAGCGGCGGACGGGUGAGUAACACGUGGGUAACCUGCCUGUAAGACUGGGAUAACUCCGGGAAACCGGGGCUAAUACCGGAUAACACCUACCCCCGCAUGGGGGAAGGUUGAAAGGUGGCUUCGGCUAUCACUUACAGAUGGACCCGCGGCGCAUUAGCUAGUUGGUGAGGUAAUGGCUCACCAAGGCGACGAUGCGUAGCCGACCUGAGAGGGUGAUCGGCCACACUGGGACUGAGACACGGCCCAGACUCCUACGGGAGGCAGCAGUAGGGAAUCUUCCGCAAUGGACGAAAGUCUGACGGAGCAACGCCGCGUGAGUGAAGAAGGUUUUCGGAUCGUAAAACUCUGUUGUUAGGGAAGAACAAGUGCCGUUCGAAUAGGGCGGCGCCUUGACGGUGCCUAACCAGAAAGCCACGGCUAACUACGUGCCAGCAGCCGCGGUAAUACGUAGGUGGCAAGCGUUGUCCGGAAUUAUUGGGCGUAAAGCGCGCGCAGGUGGUUUCUUAAGUCUGAUGUGAAAGCCCACGGCUCAACCGUGGAGGGUCAUUGGAAA